UACGCCUACGGGGGGCAGCAGUGAGGAAUAUUGGUCAAUGGGAGAGAUCCUGAACCAGCCAAGCCGCGUGAGGGAAGACGGCCCUAUGGGUUGUAAACCUCUUUUGUCGGAGACCAAAACCCGGGACGAGUCCCGGACUGCGUGUAUCCGAAGAAAAAGCAUCGGCUAACUCCGUGCCAGCGGCCGCGGUAAUACGGAGGAAGCGAGCGUUAUCCGGAUUUAUUGGGUUUAAAGGGUGCGUAGGCGAUCCGUUACGUCAGCGG
rnacentral:rRNA from 1 species